rnacentral:rRNA from 1 species
GAUGAACGCUGGCGGCGUGCCUAAUACAUGCAAGUCGAGCGAACUGAUUAGAAGCUUGCUUCUAUGACGUUAGCGGCGGACGGGUGAGUAACACGUGGGCAACCUGCCUGUAAGACUGGGAUAACUUCGGGAAACCGAAGCUAAUACCGGAUAGGAUCUUCUCCUUCAUGGGAGAUGAUUGAAAGAUGGUUUCGGCUAUCACUUACAGAUGGGCCCGCGGUGCAUUAGCUAGUUGGUGAGGUAACGGCUCACCAAGGCAACGAUGCAUAGCCGACCUGAGAGGGUGAUCGGCCACACUGGGACUGAGACACGGCCCAGACUCCUACGGGAGGCAGCAGUAGGGAAUCUUCCGCAAUGGACGAAAGUCUGACGGAGCAACGCCGCGUGAGUGAUGAAGGCUUUCGGGUCGUAAAACUCUGUUGUUAGGGAAGAACAAGUACGAGAGUAACUGCUCGUACCUUGACGGUACCUAACCAGAAAGCCACGGCUAACUACGUGCCAGCAGCCGCGGUAAUACGUAGGUGGCAAGCGUUAUCCGGAAUUAUUGGGCGUAAAGCGCGCGCAGGCGGUUUCUUAAGUCUGAUGUGAAAGCCCACGGCUCAACCGUGGAGGGUCAUUGGAAACUGGGGAACUUGAGUGCAGAAGAGAAAAGCGGAAUUCCACGUGUAGCGGUGAAAUGCGUAGAGAUGUGGAGGAACA